GAAAAAAGAAAAAAAAAUCUUCCUGUUCUAUUUAAAGAUCUGGGAAAACCAGUUUUUUGUUCAUAGUUCUCAGUGUACCCCAGCAGGAUGAAUGGUGUCCUCCUUGUCCAGCACUGUGAGCAGUUGCAGAGAAGAGCCAUCUGCAUUGCUGAUGUCCAAGUCUGACAUUCAAAGUGCUGUAUCUCCACGGCCCCACCGCCACCCCUCCCCUCCCACCACUGCUUUGGCCGCAGCUUUGGUCCAGCCCGGUCCCGGUUCCGAGCCGCUGUCCGGCCACAGCCGCCAUCCCCGUACCCCGUCACGCCGCCUCCGCCGCCACCGGGUCUAUACACAGCAGGCGAACACUGCAGCGCCUUGCGUGUAUCCUUCCGCGUCUCUGCCUCUGCCGGAACUUGAUGUGGCAUGGCCGUAUCACCGAGAGAUCCCUCCGCAGUGUGCGACUCUCCCCAACCGAUACCUGGUGUUCCUCCGCGCUGUGGCCUUCCCCACUCCUAGCACCGAGUGGGACUACUUUGUGUCACGAUUCGUCUGCACAGCCACAUGUGAAAGACGCCAAUCACUCGUUUUUAAAAAUUUUUUAAAAUUAAAAUACUAUAGUAUUUUAAUUUUAAAAAAAUUUUAAAAACGAGUAUAGUAUUUCUAUAACUAUUUUAAUAGUAUUAAAAUGGUUAUAGAAAUAGUCAUACAAUUAGAGUAAUAAUAAUUUGAACAGUUUGAAUUAGGACAGUAUGAGACAAAAGCCACUCCUCCAAAUUCAGCCAUAAAUCCCCCCAAACCAACCCCAGAAUCCCUCCAAAAUCAACCCCCAGAUCCCCCCCCAAACAGAGCCACAAAUCCCCCCAUAAAACAACCAAAAAUCCCCCAUAAAUUCAGCCAUAAAUUCCCCCCAAACCAACGCCCAGAUCACCCCAAAUCAAACCAUAAAUUCCCCCCAAAUUCACCCAUAAAUUGAAACUAAUUUACAGCAAAUUGUAAGACAUUGGAGUGAAUUUUCCAAGAGCUAGUUCUUCAGUGCACAGAAGGCAAUUCCACCUGAAAGAUAA